rnacentral:lncRNA from 1 species
CCCGGGAUUUGAGGUCCUGUGUCACUCCGCGGGUAUCUCGGUGGGAUGGUCCUGCCGUUUUCUACCGGGGACGUGUCUGACAGGGCACACACACCCGCCGCUUCUCACGGAAAGUGUGAUUCCGGGUGACUUCAUUUCCUAGGCUGCAGGUGUGCGGUGGACACCGGUUGGAGGUGCCCCAGUCUGCUGUCUGUGAGGGCUGCUCGCAAUGACGGCUCCACAGGCCGGGAAGGAGCUUUCAGUCGGAAAUCACUAUUUGCAGUAAUUGCUGCUUAAUUUCUGAGCUGCAGUUUGCUGGAAAAGAUGGGGAGUCCCUCAGGGUCAUAGCAGAGUUUGAUCUGCAGCACAUGGAAAAGAUCUGCUGUGUCUGUGUUUCUGAGAGGCCAGGAAAGAGCAGAUGGCUCUUGGAUGGGACCAAAGUACCUGAGGGGAACCUAUUGUAUCAAUAUUUUGCUUGCUUGAAGAUAGGAAUAGCCUGCACAGGUAAAGUUCAUCACAGGGAAUUAAUGAAACAGUCCAAGACUGCUAUAAAUGAAUGGCAUCCUCAUUAUGGUUUGUGUUUGGAUUUUCUGUCCUAUUGUAGGUGAAACCUCUAUUUCCCUGCAAAGGGAAUUCAUUGUGUGAAAACAGCUAGCUAAUAUUUAGCAAUUAAAAACCUGAUUGUCAGUAAAUAGAACUCUAAUCAUAAACAGAUAUUUGAGCAUUUAAGUGUUAGCAGAAUUCCUUUUCUGGGUAAGCAUAAACUCAUGUCUGUAUUAAAUUGUUCCUGAGAUCACAAAUAACAUCUUGCAUCAUGCAGUUAUUAAUAACUGUUACAUCAUAGUGUUUAAUGCACUUUCAGUAGUAAGUUAAAACUUCCUAAUAUGCAUUACAGCUGAUGAAACACCAAUACUAACACCUACAUCAUAACUAAAAAAGUCCUUGCAGAUAGCUCCCAGGCUCCCCAAGACAUCGUGACUGCAUGCACACAGCUGGCUUCCGUUACUUUUCUCCUCUUUUUGUGUCUG